AUUGAACGCUGGCGGCAGGCCUAACACAUGCAAGUCGAACGAGUGGCGGACGGGUGAGUAAUGUCUGGGAAACUGCCCGAUGGAGGGGGAUCACUACUGGAAACGGACGCUAAUAACGCAUACUAUAGGAUGUGCCCAGCUGGGAAUAGCUAGUAGGGGGGGUAACGGCUCACCUAGGCGACGACCCCUAGCUGGUCUGAGAGGAUGAACAGCCACACUGGACCUGAGACACGGUCCAGACUCCUCCGGGAGGCGGCAGUGGGGAAUAUUGCACAAUGGGCGCAAGCCUGAUGCAGUCAUGCCGCGUGUAUGAAGAAGGCCUUCGGGUUGUAAAGUACUUUCAGCGAGAAGGCGUUACUCGAAGAAGAAGCAACGGCUAACUCCGUGCCAGCAGCCGCGGUAAUAC
rnacentral:rRNA from 1 species